rnacentral:rRNA from 1 species
CGGACGGGUGAGUAAUGUCUGGGAAACUGCCCGAUGGAGGGGGAUAACUACUGGAAACGGUAGCUAAUACCGCAUAACGUCGCAAGACCAAAGGAGGGGACCUUCGGGCCUCUUGCCAUCGGAUGUGCCCAGAUGGGAUUAGCUAGUAGGUGGGGUAACGGCUCACCUAGGCGACGAUCCCUAGCUGGUCUGAGAGGAUGACCAGCCACACUGGAACUGAGACACGGUCCAG